GAAAUAGAGACUAAAAAAACAAUAGAAAGGAUCAAUGAAACUAAGGGCUGAUUCUUCGAUAAGAUAAACAAAACUGGCAAACCCUUAGCCAGACUCAUUGAGAGAAAGAGAG